rnacentral:rRNA from 1 species
GUUGGAAACGACGGCUAAUACCGGAUGCGGCGCCUUGGGGGACAUCCCCGGGGCGCCAAAGGGGGGCCCAAAAGGCUCCCGCCCGCGGAGAGGCUCGCGCACCAUCAGCUAGUUGGCGGGGUAACGGCCCACCAAGGCUCACGGUUAGCUGGUCUGAGAGGAUGACCCAGCCCCCACUGGGGACUGAGACACUGCCCAGACUCCUACGGGAGGCUGCAGUCGAGGAUCAUUUGCAAUGGGCGAAAGCCUGACAAUGCGACGCUGCGUGGAGGAAUGAAGGCCUUCGGGUUGUAAACUCCUGUCAUGGAGGAACAGGCGAGGAUACCCAACACGUAUCUUAGUUGAGUGUACCCCAAGAGGAAGGGACGGCUAACUCUGUGCCAGCAGCCGC